CUCGUAGGCGGUUCGUCGCGUCCGGUGUGAAAGUCCAUCGCCUAACGGUGGAUCUGCGCCGGGUACGGGCGGGCUGGAGUGCGGUAGGGGAGACUGGAAUUCCCGGUGUAACGGUGGAAUGUGUAGAUAUCGGGAAGAACACCGAUGGCGAAGGCAGGUCUCUGGGCCGUUACUGACGCUGAGGAGCGAAAGCGUGGGGAGCGAACA
rnacentral:rRNA from 1 species